UGGGGAAUUUUGGACAAUGGGCGCAAGCCUGAUCCAGCAAUGCCGCGUGUGUGAAGAAGGCCUUCGGGUUGUAAAGCACUUUUAUCAGGAGCGAAACGCUGUCGGCUAAUACCCGGCGGAACUGACGGUACCUGAGGAAUAAGCACCGGCUAACUUCGUGCCAGCAGCCGCGGUAAUACGAAGGGUGCAAGCGUUAAUCGGAAUUACUGGGCGUAAAGCGUGCGUAGGCGGUUUCUUAGUCUGCUGUGAAAUCCCCGGGCUCAACCUGGGAAUGGCAGUGGAUACUGGGAGGCUAGAGUGUGUCAGAGGGUGGUGGAAUUCCCGGUGUAGCGGUGAAAUGCGUAGAGAUCGGGAGGAACAUCAGUGGCGAAGGCGGCCACCUGGGACAACACUGACGCUGAGGCACGAAAGCGUGGGGAGCAAACAGGAUUAGAUACCCUGGUAGUCCACGCCCUAAAGCGAUGUGAACUGGAUGUUGGUCUCAACUCGGAGAUCAGUGUCGAAGCUAACGCGUUAAGUUCGCCGCCUGGGGAGUACGGUCGCAAGACUGAAACUCAAAUGAAUUGAC
rnacentral:rRNA from 1 species